UGCAAAGUUUUGAGUGUGUGUGUGUGUGUAUAUAUAUAUAUAUACACACACACACACACUCAAAACUUUGCAUA